rnacentral:rRNA from 1 species
UACGAAGGGGGCUAGCGUUGCUCGGAAUGACUGGGCGUAAAGGGCGCGUAGGCGGUUUGUACAGUCAGAUGUGAAAUUCCUGGGCUCAACCUGGGGGCUGCAUUUGAUACGUAUGGACUGGAGUGAGGAAGAGGGUCGUGGAAUUCCCAGUGUAGAGGUGAAAUUCGUAGAUAUUGGGAAGAACACCGGUGGCGAAGGCGGCGCUCUGGACCGAGACUGACGCUGAGGCGCGAAAGCGUGGGGAGCAAACAGG